GUUGAAUAGAAAAUUGUCAAUCAUCUGGUGAAUCUGGGCAUAUAGGCCAGCUUCUGAGAAGAAUUCUGGCCCGGUCCUCAUUUUUCCAGAGUCAGUCAGGUACUGCACGUCCAUUUGAGUGAAGCCAUUCGCAGUCUGUGUCUGUUGCUUUUUGCCGACACUGCACAGCAAAUGAAGACAAUUUGCCUGAGAUUGAGUGUGAGCAGCUUUACAUGAACAGGAGUGCAAAUGAUAAAAAAUUUGAAGAUAAGGAAUCCAGAAAUUUCUCCAUAUUCUCUUCUUAGGCCCCUGUUAUAAAGAGAUCCACUGGCAAAUGUCUUUGAUGUAUCGGGACUGUGCCUUACGAAGUUAUACUCAAGUGGCAAAAGUAUUACAUCCCCAACGUAUUAAAAAUCAAACCCCUGGGGAUCCCUGGGUGGCGCAGCGGCUUAGCGCCUGCCUUUGGCCCAGGGCGCGAUCCUGGAGACCCGGGAUCGAAUCCCACGUCGGGCUCCCGGUGCAUGGAGCCUGCUUCUCCCUCUGCCUGUGUCUCUGCCUCUCUCUCUCUCUCUGUGACUAUCAUAAAUAAAUAAAAAUUAAAAACAAAAAAUCAAACCCCUGCCUCCUCUUCUCUCCUAUUUCCUUACUAGCCUAGCUCACACCUCCCAUCAUCUGUGAAAAACAUGUCACUGUUCACGUGUUGGCAAAUGAGGUCUCUCAGGGUGUUUGUCACCGUCAUGUUUUGAUUGUUUGUCUACAGCGCCC
rnacentral:lncRNA from 12 species